GUCUGUGUCAGCACGCCCACACCAGGCCACAACAAUGGCCACCGCCAAUGUCCCAGUCCCUGGAGAGGUCUCACCUCUCAUCGAGAUGCACUCAGGGCCUAUCAGAGCCCUAAAUAUUGUGAGAUUCCUUGAAGGAUUGUGAAAAUUCCAUUUUACGUGGCUGAGAGCUCAUAUCAAGUCUGAGUACCAAUGGAAACUCUCCAGUUCAAAUCCAAUGUAUAUUAGGGAAGGAACUACAGUUGCUGACUUGAGUUGAGGAAGCAACUGCUUAAUGUUUGGUCAAAGCUUACAAGUAGAAAUACAGAAAUCUAUGAUUAAAAAGCCAGCGCUUCAGUCUCCUGCAAAGGGUAAAACACAGGACAAGAGGAAUCUGCAAGGGAGAAUGAAUUUCAGGAUUUCUCACUGAAGUGGACAAAGACCUUUAGUCACUCUGACGGGGCGGGACAAACUGAGUUGGCACACAAGUCACCUGGAGAAAGAGAGAGAUGGAUGCAGAGACUGAAGAUAAAACACUGCAUACCCGCUCUAAGGGAACCAAGGUACCAAUGGACUCUCUAAUUCAGGAGCUUAG